rnacentral:rRNA from 1 species
CCAGCAGCCGCGGUAAUACGAAGGGACCUAGCGUAGUUCGGAAUUACUGGGCUUAAAGAGUUCGUAGGUGGUUGAAAUAGUUGGUGGUGAAAUCCCAGAGCUUAACUCUGGAACUGCCAUCAAAACUUUUCAGCUAGAGUAUGAUAGAGGAAAGCAGAAUUUCUAGUGUAGAGGUGAAAUUCGUAGAUAUUAGAAAGAAUACCAAUUGCGAAGGCAGCUUUCUGGAUCAUUACUAACACUGAGGAACGAAAGCAUGGGUAGCGAAGAGGAUUAGAUACCCUCGUAGUCCAUGCCGUAAACGAUGUGUGUUAGACGUUGGAAAUUUAUUUUCAGUGUCGCAGGGAAACCGAUAAACACACCGCCUGGGGAGUACGACCGCAAGGUUAAAACUCAAAUGAAUUGACGGGGACCCGCACAAGUAGUGGAGCAUGUGGUUUAAUUCGAAGAUACGCGCAGAACCUUACCAACACUUGACAUGUUCGUCGCGACUCUAAGAGAUUAGAGUUUUCGGUUCGGCCGGACGAAACACAGGUGCUGCAUGGCUGUCGUCAGCUCGUGUCGUGAGAUGUUGGGUUAAGUCCCGCAACGAGCGCAACCCUCACUUUUAGUUGCCAUCAUUAAGUUGGGCACUCUGAAAGAACUGCCAGUGAUAAGCUGGAGGAAGGUGGGGAUGACGUCAAGUCCUCAUGGCCCUUACGUGUUGGGCUACACACGUGCUACAAUGGUAUCUACAACAGGAAGCAAGACUGCGAAGUUAAGCAAAUCCCUAAAAGAUACCUCAGUUCGGAUUGCACUCUGCAACUCGAGUGCAUGAAGCUGGAAUUACUAGUAAUCGUGGAUCAGCGUGCCACGGUGAAUGCGUUCCCGGGUCUUGUACACACCGCCCGUCACACCAUGGGAGUUGGUUCUACCUUAAGGCAAGGUUUCAAACCCUUGACCACGGUAUAGUCAGCGACUGGGGUG